ensembl:misc_RNA predicted gene, 27585
UGGAUUACUUUCAAGUACAAAGGAUUUCAUUGAACCUUAGAAAUGACUUUAGUCUUUGUGUUCAAUAGGUGAAUGCUUGUGUACUUAUCAAUGUGAGGAAAAUGUUUAAUUGCUCUUAUUUACAUUAAAACCAACAGCAUAGGCUCUGCAGAGACCUCAAUUAUUACAGUUUUGGUCUGAUACCUGAAUUGGAAAAC